rnacentral:lncRNA from 1 species
UACCAGUUAACUUUUGCUCCUUAACAAACCUCUAUGAAAUCCAGUGUCUUGAGGGUUGGCUGGGUCCAGCUGAGGGAGGCUGCUCACCUGGUUCAUCUUCCCACGCUCACAUCUCCCUUGAGGCUGGGGUUCAGGCUGUUCUCUGUGUGAGCACUUGGGGACUCAGACUAAGGGGAGGUGGCUAUCUGGGGAAGGGUGGGCAUAGGCGGGUUAGGUCUUAGGGAUGGCAAGGCCAGAGCUAGUAACGUGGGGAUUCAGAGGGAGUAAGUCACUGAUGGGACUUGGUUUCUGAGUACAGGGAGUGGGGUGGAGAAUUGAGAUGAAGCCAGGUAUUCUAGGUAAGGCAGUGUUAGCUGUGUAACAGAUGGACUUACCCAUUUGAAUAUCUUCAAGCAGUAGUCGAUUUGUGUGUGCCUGGUGGGGCUACUCUCCUAGGAAGCCAUCUUCCCAGGCUUCUUGCAUCCCAUGGAACCACCCCGUUCAAUAUGUGGCUCCCCAAGGUCAUCCUCAAGGUCCUCUCUCUUCCAACCUACCUAUUAGAAGAGAAGAAUUUCAUAGGCUAGACUUAGAAGGGUAGCAAAUCACUUCUGCCCACGUUCCUGGGCUCCAUGUGGGUCACAUGGCCAUGCCUAAUUGCAAGGGGACCUGGGGAGUGUAGUCCACACUGUGUGCUCAGGAAGAGGAAAUGGACUCUGUGGUCAGCUCACCACCUGGGCCCCACCAGGUUCUUGCCUUCAGAUAACCAAAGCAGGAAGCCUGAAGAAGGUCGAAGCUUAUGGAGGUGACCACUUCCAUGAGCUGGAGGACCCUCCCCCCCCCGGGGAUGCCUGAGUGAGUAUCAGUGAGUCACUGGGACACAUGAGGCAGUGGAGGUGCCAGAGCCGAGGUCCCGAAUCUGCAGGAAGACGACACUGGAGCCUUGAGCAGAGGCAGAGCUCACCCUGGACCUGAGAAUUCAACCCAGGAAAUAGGACGCCAUCCCUGGCACAAGGGGAGGCUUUGCAGGUGUUUGAGCAGGGAGGUCACCUAAGCAGAAAAGGUUAGGAAGACGUCUUUUUGGGGGUCACUAGGGGUGUGGAUGACAGAGACCCAGAGGCCUGGGCCACGUUGAAGGAAUGUUCUCUGAGCAGGGUGGGGUUCUGGUUUUUAAACUCUUGUGUGGAAGCUUUUUCCUUUUCCUGAAGCCAUUUUUGCUUCUGAUUAAAGCCAGAUCCACCACAAGGUCGUUAUUAAGCGAAAGCUUGUGGCAUUAGAAUCAGGGAGAGGAGGGUUGGUCUCGUGGCUGCUGAGCCAGCUGGAGUUCUGUUUUCCUUUCUUCACCUUUUCCAAGAUGCCUGUGAUAUGGAUGCAGCCC